UACGUAGGGGGCAAGCGUUGUUCGGAAUUACUGGGCGUAAAGGGUGCGUAGGUGGCGAGGUUAGUCAGGUGUGAAAUCUCGGGGCUCAACCCCGAAACUGCACUUGAUACUGCCUUGCUAGAGUACUGGAGAGGAGAUUGGAAUUUACGGUGUAGCAGUGAAAUGCGUAGAUAUCGUAAGGAAGACCAGUGGCGAAGGCGAAUCUCUGGACAGUUACUGACACUGAGGCACGAAGGCCAGGGGAGCAAACGGG
rnacentral:rRNA from 1 species